rnacentral:rRNA from 1 species
CACCUCUAGCAUAAAUAGUAUUAGAGGCACUGCCUGCCCAGUGACAUCUGUUCAACGGCCGCGGUAUCCUGACCGUGCAAAGGUAGCAUAAUCACUUGUUCCCUAAAUAGGGACUCGUAUGAAAGGCUUGACGAGGGUUUAACUGUCUCUUACUCUCAAUCAGUGAAAUUGACCUUCCCGUGAAGAGGCGGGAAUACUAUAAUAAGACGAGAAGACCCUAUGGAGCUUAAAUCUAUCUAACCUAAACCUAAAUAUAAACUAUUCCACGGAAUUCACAACACGGCUUUGUAGGUUAAAGAUUUUGGUUGGGGUGACCUCGGAGCACAAACAAACCUCCGAAUGAUUAUAAUCUAGACAUACAAGUCUAAAUUCCUACUCAUAAAUUGACCCAAGCUUAUUGAGCAACGGAACAAGUUACCCUAGGGAUAACAGCGCUAUCCUACUUUAGAGUUCAUAUCGACAGUAAGGGUUUACGACCUCGAUGUUGGAUCAGGACAUCCAAAUGGUGCAGCAGCUAUUAAUGGUUCGUUUGUUCAACGAUUAAAGUCCU